UCCGCAGGUUGCAAGAGUUUGUUUUUUUUUCAUAUACAAUUCGUUUGUAAAAUGUCCAACGUGAGCCAGCAUAAGUUUAACUGGACUAAAAAAAAUCACGACCAAAGCCUCUACACCGGGAGCAAUGCAGUAGACACAACACCCACCGUAUGCCGCUGCGGAUUCAACUCAAUAUCAGCGCCGGAAGCACCCGGGACUGCAGAGCAACCAUAAAAUGCUAGUCAUACGUGUUAUCCCUUCCAAUCAAUUUGUUGGUUAUGACACCAUCGAAAGGCAAUCAAAGCACCUGUGAGCGACACCUAUCCCCGGAAGUAAGUUAAUGUUAACCGACCUUGCUACCCGCCCGCAGCGUGUUUCGUGGGCGGUAACUACUCCGGCGGAUCCAGGAAAGGGCCUGGAAAUUUACUAUCACGCUCUGCGGGACAAAACCGAUGCAACAGAAGGGCAAGUGACGUGCGGUAAAGCGGUAAAGAAGAUGCCGUUGGAGCACAGAUUUGCCGGAUGUUUAUUAGCCUGGGACACGGUUAUAUGAAAAAUUUAGAUUCUUGCUCCAGUCCACUUUUUGGAUUGCAUUUAGGUCCCAU